AGUCAAUAGAUACCCGGGUAGUCCACGCCGUAAACUAUGGAUGCUAGCUGUUAGAGGUAGUCGACCCCUCUAGUAGCGAAAGCUAACGCGUUAAGCAUCCCGCCUGUGGAGUACGGUCGCAAGACUAAAACAUAAAGGAAUUGACGGGGACCCGCACAAGCGGUGGAGCGUGUUGUUUAAUUCGAUGGUAAGCGAAGAACCUUACCCAGGCUUGACAUCCUUGGAAUUUUGGCGAAAGCCGAGAGUGCCUUCGGGAACCAAGUGACAGGUGUUGCAUGGCCGUCGUCAGCUCGUGUCGUGAGAUGUUUGGUUAAGUCCAUCAACGAGCGCAA
rnacentral:rRNA from 1 species